UUGCAGCUUUCAGUCACUUUCACUGCAAGCCACAACAAUCAAACACAACGUCAGCUGAUUGCAUGUGGUUCGAGAAAUUCUCUGUUCGGUGCCGAGAAAAAUCACCAAGAAAAAUAAAAGUAAAAUUUUAGACCUGGAAAACUUAAAGUGGUAAAGUAAACAUCCAUUUUCUCGGCAGCCAAACAGUAGUGGAUAAUUGAGGGAA
rnacentral:misc_RNA from 1 species